rnacentral:rRNA from 1 species
GACGAACGCGGCGGCGUGCCUAAUACAUGCAAGUAGAACGCUGAAGGAGGAGCUUGCUCUUCUGGAUGAGUUGCGAACGGGUGAGUAACGCGUAGGUAACCUGCCUGGUAGCGGGGGAUAACUAUUGGAAACGAUAGCUAAUACCGCAUAAUAGUAGAUGUUGCAUGACAUUUGCUUAAAGGGUGCAAUUGCAUCACUACCAGAUGGACCUGCGUUGUAUUAGCUAGUUGGUGAGGUAACGGCUCACCAAGGCAACGAUACAUAGCCGACCUGAGAGGGUGAUCGGCCACACUGGGACUGAGACACGGCCCAGACUCCUACGGGAGGCAGCAGUAGGGAAUCUUCGGCAAUGGACGGAAGUCUGACCGAGCAACGCCGCGUGAGUGAAGAAGGUUUUCGGAUCGUAAAGCUCUGUUGUAAGAGAAGAACGAGUGUGAGAGUGGAAAGUUCACAACUGUG